rnacentral:rRNA from 1 species
AGGGUUAUAUGAUCAAGUAAUUAAGAGCACAAGGCGGAUGCCUUGGCAGCUGAAGGCGAUGAAGGACGUAGUAACUUUGCGAUAAGCUUUCGGGGAAGUGGUAAACAAACCUUUGAUCCGGAGAUU